ACUGGCGAGGAUGACAUACACUUGCCCUCACUUAGACUAUAGUUCAUUGAUGAGAGCACCUGGUAUUCUGAGCCAGU
rnacentral:snoRNA from 1 species